rnacentral:rRNA from 1 species
AGCGAACGCUGGCGGCGUGCCUAACACAUGCAAGUCGAACGUGAAAAGGGAAACCUGAGUAAAGUGGCGUACGGGUGAGUAACGCGUAGGUAAUCUACCCCAGAAUCUGGAAUAACCUGCCGAAAGGCGGGCUAAUACUGGAUAGAGCGAGGGAACUCGUAAGAGAGUUUUUCGGGAAAGGGAGCCCGCAAGGGCCUUCGUUCUGGGAUGAGCCUGCGUCUCAUUAGCUAGUUGGUAAGGUAACGGCUUACCAAGGCGAUGAUGAGUAGCUGGUCUGAGAGGAUGAUCAGCCACACUGGAACUGAAACACGGUCCAGACUCCUACGGGAGGCAGCAGGGGGGAAUCUUGCGAAAUGGACGAAAGUCUGACGCAGCCACGCCGCGGGAGUGAAGAAGGCCUUCGGGUUGUAAAGCUCUGUCGGAUGGGACGAACAUCUUCAUAGUGAAUAGCUAUGAGGACUGACGGUACCAUCAAAGGAAGCACCGGCUAACUCCGUG